rnacentral:rRNA from 1 species
AUGACAAAUAUGGUUCGAUGGCUCUUCUCUACUAACCACAAGGAUAUUGGGACUCUCUAUUUCAUCUUCGGUGCCAUUGCAGGAGUGAUGGGCACAUGCUUCUCCGUACUGAUUCGUAUGGAAUUAGCCCGACCCGGCGAUCAAAUUCUUGGUGGGAAUCAUCAACUUUAUAAUGUUUUAAUAACGGCUCAUGCUUUUUUAAUGAUCUUUUUUAUGGUUAUGCCGGCGAUGAUAGGUGGAUUUGGUAAUUGGUUUGUUCCGAUUCUGAUAGGUGCACCUGACAUGGCAUUUCCACGAUUAAAUAAUAUAUCAUUCUGGUUGUUGCCACCAAGUCUCUUGCUCCUAUUAAGCUCAGCCUUAGUAGAAGUGGGCAGCGGCACUGGGUGGACAGUCUAUCCGCCCUUAAGUGGUAUUACCAGCCAUUCUGGAGGAACAGUUGAUUUAGCAAUUUUUAGUCUUCAUCUAUCAGGUAUUUCAUCAAUUUUAGGUUCUAUCAAUUUUAUAACAACUAUCUUCAACAUGCGUGGACCUGGAAUGACUAUGCAUAGAUUACCACUUUUUGUGUGGUCCGUUCUAGUGACAGCAUUCCUACUUUUAUUAUCACUUCCGGUACUGGCGGGGGCAAUUACAAUGUUAUUAACCGAUCGAAACUUUAAUACAACCUUUUUUGAUCCUGCAGGAGGGGGAGACCCAAUAUUAUACCAGCAUCUCUUUUGGUUCUUCGGUCAUCCAGAGGUGUAUAUUCUCAUUCUGCCUGGAUUUGGUAUUAUUAGUCAUAUCGUAUCGACCUUUUCAAGAAAACCGGUCUUCGGGUAUCUAGGCAUGGUUUAUGCCAUGAUAAGUAUAGGUGUUCUUGGAUUUCUAGUUUGGGCUCAUCAUAUGUUUACUGUGGGCUUAGACGUUGAUACGCGUGCCUACUUCACCGCAGCUACCAUGAUCAUAGUUGUGCCCACAGGAAUCAAAAUCUUUAGUUGGAUCGCUACCAUGUGGGGAGGUUCGAUACAAUACAAAACACCCAUGUUAUUUGCUGUAGGGUUCAUCUUUUUGUUCACCAUAGGAGGGCUCACUGGAAUAGUUCUAGCAAACUCUGGGCUAGACAUUGCUCUACAUGAUACUUAUUAUGUGGUUGCACAUUUCCAUUAUGUACUUUCUAUGGGAGCCGUUUUUGCUUUAUUUGCUGGAUUUUACUAUUGGGUGGGUAAAAUCUUUGGUCGGACAUAUCCUGAAACUUUAGGCCAAAUCCAUUUUUGGAUCACUUUUUUCGGGGUUAAUCCGACCUUCUUUCCCAUGCAUUUCUUAGGGCUUUCGGGUAUGCCACGUCGCAUUCCAAAUUAUCCAGAUGCUUACGCCGGAUGGAAUGCUCUGAGAAGUUUCGGUUCUUAUAUAUCCGUAGUUGGGAUUCGUCGUUUCUUCGUAGUUGUCGCAAUCACUUCAAGC